GGGGGUGCUGCGCGCGCUGGGGAGCACGUGGGCGGACACACAGGGACUGCCCGCGCGAAUGGCUUCGACCGCACGCGCCCCACCCCACAUUUCACAGUCGCCAUGACGACCGGGAGGUCGGCAACGGCUGCGGGGACAAGUCCGUUGAGGCUGCCAGGCUAGUCAGGCCUUUCUGAACCUCGCCCGACUCGCCUGGGCUGUGCCUGAAAUUGACCCAGCUCCACCAGGGAUUAUGAGAAAACAAGGAGUAAGCUCAAAGCCGCUACAAUCUUCCCGCCCCAGCCAGCCUAAGCGGCGGCGCAGGGCCUCCCCCGCCCGGGAGCCGGAGGUGGAGGAGGAGGUGGGAAGGUCGGCGCUAUGCGGCGGGAACCUGCCAAGGGGCGCCAGGAGGUCCUCCCCGCGGAGGAUCCGAAAUCUGAAAGCGCGAAAAGGCUUGCAGUUGGAGGUGAUGGCCAAGAGCCUUCUUCUCGGCCCCUUCCAGUUCCUCCGUAACUUCCUGGCGCAGCUCCGGGAAAAGGUGCACAAACUGCAGGCUCCUUGGUUCUCCAGCAGGACCACUCUCGGCAUCGCUGUCUUUGUGGCAAUUUUACAUUGGUUACAUUUAGUAACACUUUUUGAAAAUGAUCGUCAUUUCUCUCACCUCUCAUCUUUGGAACGGGAGAUGAGUUUUCGCACUGAAAUGGGACUUUAUUAUUCCUACUUCAAGACCAUUAUUGAAGCACCUUCAUUUUUGGAAGGACUGUGGAUGAUUAUGAAUGACAGGCUUACUGAAUAUCCUCUUGUAAUUAAUACAGUAAAACGCUUCCAUCUUUAUCCAGAGGUAAUCAUAGCCUCCUGGUAUCGGACAUUCAUGGGAAUAAUGAAUUUAUUUGGACUAGAGACUAAGACCUGCUGGAAUGUCACCAGAAUAGAACCUCUUAAUGAAGUUCAAAGCUGUGAAGGAUUGGGAGAUCCUGCUUGCUUUUAUGUUGGUGUAAUCUUUAUUUUAAAUGGACUAAUGAUGGGAUUGUUCUUCAUGUAUGGAGCAUACCUGAGGCCACCCGUGUGAUGUGGACACCACCUCUCCGUGAAAGUUUUUCCUAUCCAUUCCUUGUACUUCAGAUGUAUAUUUUAACUUUGAUUCUCAGGACCUCGAGCAAUGAUAGAAGGCCCUUCAUUGCACUCUGUCUUUCCAAUGUGGCUUUUAUGCUUCCUUGGCAAUUUGCUCAGUUUAUUCUUUUUACACAGGUA